rnacentral:rRNA from 1 species
AUGUUGGCGGUUGGCCCUCUUCUCAUUAUAUAUUUUAAAUUUUAUUCAGUAUUCUUGAUUUGGCUGUGUUUUCAUUUUGCCAGAGGUUGGACUGACCGCUGUUCAGUUUCAUGGUGGAAUAGUAUUGCCACUAUCCAGUGUUACAUGUCUGACUAUUUAGCAUUAGAACCCAUUUUUCAUGGGAUAAACGGGCGAGCUGCAUUUCCUGUUUUCUGUUUGUAUUAUGUGCAUCCCUUUUUGCAAGCUUAUGCUUUUCUGCUGUUUCAAAACGGAAAGUUUAUGUCAUCCUAUUUUUAUUUGGCUUGUAGUUACUCCUUUUAUCUGAAGUGUACAAAUGUCAAUUGCUUCUUUCGUUGCCAGUAA